rnacentral:rRNA from 1 species
AUUCCAGCCCCAAUAGCGUAUAUUAAAGUUGUUGCAGUUAAAAAGCUCGUAGUUGAACCUUGGGCUUGGUUGGCCGGUCCGCCUUUUUGGCGAGUACUGGACCCAACCGAGCCUUUCCUUCUGGCUAACCUUUCGCCCUUGUGGUGUUUGGCGAACCAGGACUUUUACUUUGAAAAAAUUAGAGUGUUCAAAGCAGGCCUUUGCUCGAAUAUAUUAGCAUGGAAUAAUAGAAUAGGACGUUAUGGUUCUAUUUUGUUGGUUUCUAGGACCAUCGUAAUGAUUAAUAGGGACGGUCGGGGGCAUCAGUAUUCAGUUGUCAGAGGUGAAAUUCUUGGAUUACCUGAAGACUAACUACUGCGAAAGCAUUUGCCAAGGACGUUUUCAUUA